AUUGAACGCUGGCGGCAGGCCUAACACAUGCAAGUCGAACGGUAACAGAAAGCAGCUUGCUGCUUUGCUGACGAGUGGCGGACGGGUGAGUAAUGUCUGGGAAACUGCCUGAUGGAGGGGGAUAACUACUGGAAACGGUAGCUAAUACCGCAUAACGUCGCAAGACCAAAGAGGGGGACCUUCGGGCCUCUUGCCAUCGGAUGUGCCCAGAUGGGAUUAGCUAGUAGGUGGGGUAACGGCUCACCUAGGCGACGAUCCCUAGCUGGUCUGAGAGGAUGACCAGCCACACUGGAACUGAGACACGGUCCAGACUCCUACGGGAGGCAGCAGUGGGGAAUAUUGCACAAUGGGCGCAAGCCUGAUGCAGCCAUGCCGCGUGUAUGAAGAAGGCCUUCGGGCUGUAAAGUACUUUCAGCGGGGAGGAAGGGAGUAAAGUUAAUACCUUUGCUCAUUGACGUUACCCGCAGAAGAAGCACCGGCUAACUCCGUG
rnacentral:rRNA from 1 species